rnacentral:tRNA from 1 species
CGCGGGGUGGAGCAGUCUGGUAGCUCGUCGGGCUCAUAACCCGAAGGUCGUUGGUUCAAAUCCAACCCCCGCUACCA